CGUGGGUAAUCUGCCCUGCACUCUGGGAUAAGCCUGGGAAACUGGGUCUAAUACCGGAUAGGACUUCUGGCCGCAUGGUCUGGGAGUGGAAAGUUUUUCGGUGCAGGAUGUGCCCGCGGCCUAUCAGCUUGUUGGUGGGGUAAUGGCCUACCAAGGCGACGACGGGUAGCCGGCCUGAGAGGGUGAUCGGCCACACUGGGACUGAGACACGGCCCAGACUCCUACGGGAGGCAGCAGUGGGGAAUAUUGCACAAUGGGCGGAAGCCUGAUGCAGCGACGCCGCGUGGGGGAUGACGGUCUUCGGAUUGUAAACCCCUUUCAGUAGGGACGAAGCGCAAGUGACGGUACCUGCAGAAGAAGCACCGGCCAACUACGUGCCAGCAGCCGCGGUAAUACGUAGGGUGCGAGCGUUGUCCGGAAUUACUGGGCGUAAAGAGCUCGUAGGCGGUUUGUCGCGUCGUCUGUGAAAACUCGGAGCUUAACU
rnacentral:rRNA from 1 species